rnacentral:lncRNA from 7 species
GGGUGCGUGCUCCGGUGGAGGUUGGCUGCCCGCUGCAGGCUGCGCGCCCGCCGCCCCCAGUCCGCAGGAGACCGCCGCGAUGUCAUCUCCCUAGGAGCUGGCUUUUACUUGGAGGAAAGAGGGGCACACAGUGCUGCAGAAAAGCAUCUGAUUCAGAAGGAAAGGAAGAGGAAAAUUUAAAGGACCAGGCUGAAUGGAUGUGGGGAGCAUCAUGGCUUUGCAAACCCAAUGAUCCAAGCAGUUAGCACCAUGAACCAGUGUUUCUGUCGCCAGGAUGAGCAUUUCAUUUGUGAUGACUCUCCUCAAAUUUGACUGCUCAGGAGUACUUUUGCAUUCAGACUUCUGCAGAUGUCAUUCCCCACCAGGUCUAACCCAGCUCCAAAGAUGAGAAGCAAGAUCAGCAGGGCACUGCGUUUAUCCCAAUGUGAGCUGUGGGUGUCCCUGUGCAGGGAGCAGGGAUGGCACCAGGACGUGUCUGAGGGAGCAGCACCCAUGCUGUGCUGAGGGUGCAGAUGGGGAGGGCACCAUGCUGCCAGCCAGAAGCUGGGGACAUCACUUCCACCACUGCACUGCAAUCCAUUUUAAUCUCAUAUCAGUCUCCACUCCACAGCCAUCAUUUACCUGCUGAUAAGCUCCUGUGGUCAGAGAUGAAAGGUGAAGCCAGCAGCCCUCUGAGGAUGGAGCUGCCCAGCUUCACAAUACUGUGCUUCAUGGAAAACAGGGGAAGAUGCUGCAUUCAUAAUAUAUCACUCAUAUCCAUGUUUGUAAACAGAUUUAUCACACCAUCUGCAGAAUUGUGCUGCAGUCUCCAUAUUUAUUUUCUUUCCAUUUGUAUAGCACAGCUCCUAUUUAAUUAAUUUCAUUUUUACAGUUAUAUACAUUAGCAAUCUCUUAUUUUUUCUUCCCCACAAAAAAGGGGAACACACUCUCCAUGGGAGAGAAUAUUUAAUCAAUCAAAUUUGUUCAGCUCAGUGCAAAACAGCUCAGGCCUUUACUGCUCUGAGAUGUACCUGCCUGGGUUUGCUUCUCAUCUCUUCACAUCUGUGUGGAACAGCUGGGGGGGAAAGGAUGAUUUAGGACAACUCUGCUGGCAAACAGGAUGUGCUGUUGGUAUUUCCUGUCUCCUGUUGCACUGGGUUAGCUUAAUUUUCAGAAAUCAGCAAAGCUUAAGGUCAAUAAUCCUAUUAUAAUCUCUCUGACUUCCUAUAACUGAUACUGUAUAUAAACAUGUAUUUGUCCAGCUGGGAGAAAAAUAAAAACAGCCUGUUA